rnacentral:rRNA from 1 species
UACGUAGGGGGCUAGCGUUGUCCGGAUUUAUUGGGCGUAAAGAGCGUGUAGGCGGCCAUGUAGGUCCGUUGUGAAAACUCGAGGCUCAACCUCGAGACGCCGAUGGAAACCAUGUGGCUAGAGUCCGGAAGAGGAGAGUGGAAUUCCUGGUGUAGCGGUGAAAUGCGCAGAUAUCAGGAGGAACACCGGUGGCGAAGGCGGGUCUCUGGGCCGGAACUGACGCUGAGGAGCGAAAGCGUGGGGAGCGGACAGG